rnacentral:rRNA from 1 species
CCUACGGGGGGCAGCAGUGGGGAAUAUUGGACAAUGGGGGCAACCCUGAUCCAGCCAUGCCGCGUGUGUGAAGAAGGCCCUCGGGUUGUAAAGCACUUUCAGUGAGGAAGAACGCCUGGUGGUUAAUACCCAUCAGGAAAGACAUCACUCACAGAAGAAGCACCGGCUAACUCCGUGCCAGCAGCCGCGGUAAUACGGAGGGUGCGAGCGUUAAUCGGAAUUACUGGGCGUAAAGCGCGCGUAGGUGGCUUGAUAAGCCGGGUGUGAAAGCCCCGGGCUCAACCUGGGAACGGCAUCCGGAACUGUCAAGCUAGAGUGCAGGAGAGGAAGGUAGAAUUCCCGGUGUAGCGGUGAAAUGCGUAGAGAUCGGGAGGAAUACCAGUGGCGAAGGCGGCCUUCUGGACUGACACUGACACUGAGGUGCGAAAGCGUGGGUAGCAAACAGGAUUAGAUACCCGGGUAGUC